AAUUGUCAGUAUAUGAUACUCAGACAUACAAAACAUAUGUUGAAAACAGAACUUUUAAACCUCAAAAACGUCAGUUACAGGGAAAAAAGGACAAUACACGUCAACAUGUCACUAGACGACGAAUGUGAUAUUAUGUUAGAUUUAGAUUUUUCGAAUUACUUUGUUCUAUCUAUCAAAGCAGAUGGCAGAGACGCAGAUGGCAGACAGUAAGAAUCAUUGCUUCGAUAGUAUAUAAAUAACUACUCAAGACAGCGUUUUGAUACUUUUUGAAAACUCUUUUGGUUGCUGAAAAAAUAAUCCACUUUUUCUAAAAGAAUGGAUAAAAAAAAAGAAAAACAUUUGGAAGAAGAUCACUAAGACGAAGCAUUUCUAAAAGUUCUCAAAGGAAAGAAGUUUGGAAAGAAAUUUCGAGCCAUUAAUGUUUGAAAGGACAUUUAAGAGAAUGAAUUAAAAAGACCAGACACUUGAAAGAAGAUCACGAAAACGAAGCAUUUCUAAAAGAUCAUAAAGAAGUUUGGAAAGAAAUUUCGAGCCAUUAAUGUUUGAAGGACAUUUAAGAGAAUGGAUUAAAAAAAAACACUUGAAAGAAGAUCACGAAAACGAAGCAUUUCUAAAAGAUCACAUAGGAAAGAAGUUUGGAAGGAAAUUUCGAGCCAUUAAAGUUUGAAAGGACAUUUAAGAGACUGGAUUAAAAAAAAAACACUUGAAAGAAGAUCACGAAAACGAAGCAUUUCUAAAAGAUCACAAAGGAAAGAAGUUUGGAAAGAAAUUUCGAGCCAUUAAUGUUUGAAAGGACAUUUAAAAGAAUGGAUUUAAAAAAAACCAAACACUUGAAAGAAGAUCAAGAAAACGAAGCAUUUCUGAAAGAUCACGAAGAAAAGAAGUUCGGAAAGAAAUUACGAGUCAUUAAUUUUUGAAAGGAGAUGCAUUUGAAAAGUAAUCACGGGAAACAGAUAUUUGAAAGGAGAUCUCGAUCAACAAACCUUUGAAAGCAGAAAUAAAGUCUCAAAAAAGAGAAAUUUAGAAAGGACAUUUAAAGGAGAUGGCGAGACAUUAAAAAAGAGAUACCUUAAAAGUGUUUUUAAAAUGCUUUGUAAGAUAUGUUUUUAAAUGCUUUGUAAGAUAUGAUUGAAUGAGCCCAGUUUCAGGAUCACAAAGAAUCAAAGAAAAUACCCCGAAACCGAUAAAUUAAUGCACUCUGUGCAUUUAUUCAUAAUUUAAUUUUAUAAUUAAAAAAUAAUAAAGUAGAAUAUGUACUGCACUUUGAAUUAACGUUACAACAACUACCAGAAAAUAUCAACUCAAAUUUAUGAGAAAUAUUUCAGACGAGAACCAAUAAAGAUCCUAUAAAACCUGAAAAUUCUGAAUGAUGGAGAGCGGGAUAUUGAAGACAUAAUUCCUUCAAAAAAUGUUUCUAAAUCUCCUUGUAUUAAAAAAACUCUAUGCUAUGUACAAUUGUGCACUUGCCCUGGUAGCGGUAAAUUGCUACUCAUAAAUUAUAAUGAUUUUUUUGUGCAUAAAUUUCGUCAUGAAUUAAAAA